GAUGAACGCUGGCGGCGUGCCUAAUACAUGCAAGUCGAGCGAAGCGGGGACGGGUGAGUAACACGUGGAUAACCUCCUUUAAGACUGGGAUAACUUAGGGAAACCGGAGCUAAACCGGAUACUUAUACCUGGUUCCGCGCUGCAUUAGCUAGUUGGUAAGGUAACGGCUUACCAAGGCCACGAUGCCUAGCCGACCUGAGAGGGUGAUCAGCCACACUGGAACUGAGACACGGUCCAGACUCCUACGGGAGGCAGCAGUAGGGAAUCUUGCGCAAUGGGCGAAAGCCUGACGGAGCAACGCCGCGUGUGUGAUGAAGGUCUUCGGAUCGUAAAACUCUGUUAGUAGGGAAGCGGUACCUAAUCAGAAAGCCACGGCUAACUACGUGCCAGCAGCCGCGGUAAUAC
rnacentral:rRNA from 1 species